rnacentral:rRNA from 1 species
GAUGAACGCUGGCGGCGUGCCUAAUACAUGCAAGUCGAGCGAACAGACGAGGAGCUUGCUCCUCUGACGUUAGCGGCGGACGGGUGAGUAACACGUGGAUAACCUACCUAUAAGACUGGGAUAACUUCGGGAAACCGGAGCUAAUACCGGAUAAUAUAUUGAACCGCAUGGUUCAAUAGUGAAAGACGGUUUUGCUGUCACUUAUAGAUGGAUCCGCGCCGCAUUAGCUUGUUGGUAAGGUAACGGCUUACCAAGGCGACGAUGCGUAGCCGACCUGAGAGGGUGGUCGGCCAGACUGGAACUGAGACACGGUCCCGACUCCUACGGGAGGCAGCAGUCGGGAAUCUUCCGCGAUGGGCGAAAGCCUGACGGAGCAACGCCGCGUGAGUGAUGAAGGUCUUCGGAUCGUAAAACUCUGUUAUUAGGGAAGAACAAAUGUGUAAGUAACUAUGCACGUCUUGACGGUACCUAAUCAGAAAGCCACGGCUAACUACGUG